rfam:Gossypium hirsutum cultivar TM-1 chromosome 12, whole genome shotgun sequence
ACCUAAUUAGCUUAGUGGUUAAAGUAUUACUUCCAUACGGAGGGAGUCAUUGGUUCAAACCCAAUAGUAGGUA